UUAAGCGACUAAGCGUACACGGUGGAUGCCCUGGCAGUCAGAGGCGAUGAAGGACGUGCUAAUCUGCGAAAAGCGUCGGUAAGGUGAUAUGAACCGUUAUAACCGGCGAUGUCCGAAUGGGGAAACCCAGUGUGAUUCGUCACACUAUCGUUAACUGAAUACAUAGGUUAACGAGGCGAACCGGGGGAACUGAAACAUCUAAGUACCCCGAGGAAAAGAAAUCAACCGAGAUUCCCCCAGUAGCGGCGAGCGAACGGGGAGCAGCCCAGAGUCUGAAUCAGCUUGUGUGUUAGUGGAACGGUCUGGAAAGUCCGACGGUACAGGGUGAUAGUCCCGUACACCAAAAUGCACAGGUUGUGAACUCGAAGAGUAGGGCGGGACACGUGGUAUCCUGUCUGAAUAUGGGGGGACCAUCCUCCAAGGCUAAAUACUCCUGACUGACCGAUAGUGAACCAGUACCGUGAGGGAAAGGCGAAAAGAACCCCGGCGAGGGGAGUGAAAAAGAACCUGAAACCGUGUACGUACAAGCAGUGGGAGCACCUUCGGGUGUGACUGCGUACCUUUUGUAUAAUGGGUCAGCGACUUAUAUUCUGUAGCAAGGUUAACCGUAUAGGGGAGCCGCAGGGAAACCGAGUCUUAACUGGGCGUUAAGUUGCAGGGUAUAGACCCGAAACCCGGUGAUCUAGCCAUGGGCAGGUUGAAGGUUGGGUAACACUAACUGGAGGACCGAACCGACUAAUGUUGAAAAAUUAGCGGAUGACUUGUGGCUGGGGGUGAAAGGCCAAUCAAACCGGGAGAUAGCUGGUUCUCCCCGAAAGCUAUUUAGGUAGCGCCUCGUGAACUCAUCUUCGGGGGUAGAGCACUGUUUCGGCUAGGGGGUCAUCCCGACUUACCAACCCGAUGCAAACUACGAAUACCGAAGAAUGUUAUCACGGGAGACACACGGCGGGUGCUAACGUCCGUCGUGAAGAGGGAAACAACCCAGACCGCCAGCUAAGGUCCCAAAGUCAUGGUUAAGUGGGAAACGAUGUGGGAAGGCACAGACAGCCAGGAUGUUGGCUUAGAAGCAGCCAUCAUUUAAAGAAAGCGUAAUAGCUCACUGGUCGAGUCGGCCUGCGCGGAAGAUGUAACGGGGCUAAACCAUGCACCGAAGCUGCGGCAGCGACACUAUGUGUUGUUGGGUAGGGGAGCGUUCUGUAAGCCUGCGAAGGUGACCUGUGAGGGUUGCUGGAGGUAUCAGAAGUGCGAAUGCUGACAUAAGUAACGAUAAAGCGGGUGAAAAGCCCGCUCGCCGGAAGACCAAGGGUUCCUGUCCAACGUUAAUCGGGGCAGGGUGAGUCGACCCCUAAGGCGAGGCCGAAAGGCGUAGUCGAUGGGAAACAGGUUAAUAUUCCUGUACUUGGUGUUACUGCGAAGGGGGGACGGAGAAGGCUAUGUUAGCCGGGCGACGGUUGUCCCGGUUUAAGCAUGUAGGCUGAUUGUCCAGGCAAAUCCGGAUAAUCAAGGCUGAGGUGUGAUGACGAGGCACUACGGUGCUGAAGUAACAAAUGCCCUGCUUCCAGGAAAAGCCUCUAAGCAUCAGGUAACAUUAAAUCGUACCCCAAACCGACACAGGUGGUCAGGUAGAGAAUACCAAGGCGCUUGAGAGAACUCGGGUGAAGGAACUAGGCAAAAUGGUGCCGUAACUUCGGGAGAAGGCACGCUGGUGUGUAGGUGAAGCCCCUGCGGGUGGAGCUGAGACCAGUCGAAGAUACCAGCUGGCUGCAACUGUUUAUUAAAAACACAGCACUGUGCAAACACGAAAGUGGACGUAUACGGUGUGACGCCUGCCCGGUGCCGGAAGGUUAAUUGAUGGGGUUAUCCGUAAGGAGAAGCUCUUGAUCGAAGCCCCGGUAAACGGCGGCCGUAACUAUAACGGUCCUAAGGUAGCGAAAUUCCUUGUCGGGUAAGUUCCGACCUGCACGAAUGGCGUAAUGAUGGCCAGGCUGUCUCCACCCGAGACUCAGUGAAAUUGAACUCGCUGUGAAGAUGCAGUGUACCCGCGGCAAGACGGAAAGACCCCGUGAACCUUUACUAUAGCUUGACACUGAACAUUGAGCCUUGAUGUGUAGGAUAGGUGGGAGGCUUUGAAGCGUGGACGCCAGUCUGCGUGGAGCCAACCUUGAAAUACCACCCUUUAAUGUUUGAUGUUCUAACGUUGGCCCCUGACCGGGGUUGCGGACAGUGUCUGGUGGGUAGUUUGACUGGGGCGGUCUCCUCCCAAAGCGUAACGGAGGAGCACGAAGGUUAGCUAAUCCUGGUCGGACAUCAGGAGGUUAGUGCAAUGGCAUAAGCUAGCUUGACUGCGAGCGUGACGGCGCGAGCAGGUGCGAAAGCAGGUCAUAGUGAUCCGGUGGUUCUGAAUGGAAGGGCCAUCGCUCAACGGAUAAAAGGUACUCCGGGGAUAACAGGCUGAUACCGCCCAAGAGUUCAUAUCGACGGCGGUGUUUGGCACCUCGAUGUCGGCUCAUCACAUCCUGGGGCUGAAGUAGGUCCCAAGGGUAUGGCUGUUCGCCAUUUAAAGUGGUACGCGAGCUGGGUUUAGAACGUCGUGAGACAGUUCGGUCCCUAUCUGCCGUGGGCGCUGGAGAAUUGAGGGGGGCUGCUCCUAGUACGAGAGGACCGGAGUGGACGCAUCACUGGUGUUCGGGUUGUCAUGCCAAUGGCACUGCCCGGUAGCUAAAUGCGGAAGAGAUAAGUGCUGAAAGCAUCUAAGCACGAAACUUGCCCCGAGAUGAGUUCUCCCUGAGACUUUAAGUCUCCUGAAGGAACGUUAAAGACGAUGACGUUGAUAGGCCGGGUGUGUAAGCGCAGCGAUGCGUUGAGCUAACCGGUACUAAUGAACCGUGAGGCUUAACCUU
rnacentral:rRNA from 1 species